rnacentral:tRNA from 1 species
GGAGAAGUGUCUGAGUGGACUAAAGAGCUUGAUUGCUAAUCAAGUGUAUUAAAAAUACCGAGGGUUCGAAUCCCUCCUUCUCCU